rnacentral:ncRNA from 1 species
CGACCUCAGAUCAGACGUGGCGACCCGCUGAAUUUAAGCAUAUUAGUCAGCGGAGGAAAAGAAACUAACGAGGAUUCCCUCAGUAACGGCGAGUGAAGAGGGAAGAGCCCAGCGCCGAAUCCCCGCCCCGCGGUGGGGCGCGGGAGCUGUGGCGUACAGAAGCCCCCCUCCCCGGCGCGGCUCUCGGGGGACCCAAGUCCUUGUGAUCGAGGCCGCAGCCCGCGGACGGUGUGAGGCCGGUAGCGGCCCCCCGGCGCGCCGGG